rnacentral:rRNA from 1 species
UACGGGGGGGGCAAGCGUUGUUCGGAAUUACUGGGCGUAAAGGGCUCGUAGGCGGCCAACUAAGUCAGACGUGAAAUCCCUCGGCUUAACCGGGGAACUGCAUCUGAUACUGGAUGGCUUGAGAUUGGGAGAGGGAUGCGGAAUUCCAGGUGUAGCGGUGAAAUGCGUAGAUAUCUGGAGGAACACCGGUGGCGAAGGCGGCAUCCUGGACCAACAUUGACGCUGAGGCGCGAAAGCCAGGGGAGCAAACGGG